CACCUGGGAGGAGGGAGGCCUGCGGACCCCCACUCCGAGCAGGGUCACCUCUCAAGCGUCCGCCUGCGGCUGGCAUCGGCUCCCGCGUCCCGCCGCCAGCCCUGCCGCCGCGGGACGGCGGAGGUGUGCGAGCGACGUGCCGGGGGAGGACCGGGGAAGGUGCCGAGCCUUGUGGCCCCGGGGCGGGGCUGCCGUGCGCUUUGCCCGUGCAUUGGGUCUGGAUUCAUACAUAAGUAUAGCCGGGCUGGGCUCGCCACACUCCUCUACCCCCCGCCCCCCAGCCCUGCAAGAGAAGGGGGAGAGAAACAAGAAGGGGGGGAAAAAAUCCCGGUGAGGUCAUUCCAAUGAGAGCGCAGGAGGAGAGCGGACAAGGUCGACUUUCCCGGCGGAGGCGCAGCCCUUAGGAGCGCGGAGCCGCGCACCCACCGCCGGCCCGGCACCUUGGAGAGCUCCGCCGCGCCGGGGCCGCGCUCGGGGCCGCGCCGGGGCCGCGCCCGGGGCCGCGCUCGGGGCCGCGCUCGGGGCCGGCGCGGCGCUGCCUGCGCGGGGCCCGGCGGCGCCGGGGCCGCCCCGCCGACCCUCGGUAGCGCCCGCCGGCCGCGGAUGCGCCGCUCCGCCCCGGCUGCCUGCGAAGGAAGAAAAGUUUGGGGGCGACUUAGGGCCGCGGGAGCGCCCGAGGAGGAGGAGGAGGAUGCGCGGUUUCCCCGGCUGAUCGGAAAGGAAGGAUGACCGAGGGAGGAUGUGCACCAGCAGCCAGAUCAUCGGGAGCCUCCUGGUGCUCUCCGUGCUGGAGAUAGGGUUAGGGGUGUCCAGCGUGGCCGUGGGGGCGGUCAGUUUCAGCCUGGUCCUCACAGAGCAUAAACCUCAGCUGGGAGACUCUUCUCCGGUAUGGAGCGGGUUCCUGCUUUGCGGCGUAUGUGGAAUAUUGUGUGCCAAAAAAAAAUCUGGACUUGUUAUGAUACUUUUUUCUGCCUGUUGCAUCUGUGGACUCAUAGGAGGAAUCUUAAAUUUUCAAUUUCUCCGUGCUCUGACAAAGAAGUCAUCUGCUCUCUAUUCUUUGCAUCUUGCCUCCAUGUCUCUUGCAUGCAUUGGAAUUGGUGGUUGCACCCUUUCUUCAUGGCUCACUUGUCGGCUAGCCAGCUAUGAACAAAGGCGAAUGUUCUCAGAAAGGGAACAUUCAUUGCAUCACUCCCAUGAAAUGGCAGAAAAAGUGAGUUGUGUGUCCUCCCGUAUUUGUUCUGCUUCUCCUGAAAUACUACUGAAGGGCCACCUCUACGAGGAAGUCAUAGCUUCAGCUAAUCAAAGUUGGCUGAUGCUGUGAUGUUACUCUGAGGCAGGAAUGGUGCUUCCAGGUAGUGACAUAACUCUACGUGGUGAACGCUGCAAUCCGGAAGAAAUGACAGACAACCUAAGCAAUGGUGGCCCACAUCUGAUUUAUAAUGGAAGUGUAUAUUAAGAAAUUUUUAAAAGUUCCAUGGAAGGAAGUGGCUUUAGAAUUUUCUUCAGGAAAAAAAAUAGACUCCAAGAAAUUAAGAAAAUGAAACAAUCUUAGCUGUUAUGGCUCAAAUGUCACAACUGCAGACCAGCACAGUUGCAAUUCCCUUUUAGAACCAUGUUCAAAAUUUGUCUCCUAAAUAUUUUGCGGAUAUACAAUAUUUAUUCACUUCCUGGCUACUCUCUUUCAGUUUUUUGUCUGAAUAAUCUUUCUGAAUUGUGAUAGUAUUUGAAAUAGACUUUGCAAGACUCUUAUGCUCAUGCAGACUCAAAAAUCAGAAAAAAAAUAAACUGAACUGUAUUUAGCCCACUCAAAGAAGGCAGAGGAAGAAUGGCUCAGGGGAAUCUUUUUCUCCUCUCCACUUAGCAGCAUCUGGUUUAAUAUGAUGGCUUCAGAUCAUGGCAUGGUACAGCAACACAUCUGCAUAGUCCCUCUCCUCACAUUUUGAAUGCAUCCUGCCUCAGUUUUCCCAGUAGAUCAUAUCAAAAGAGAGUGCAAACUCCUCUUCCAAAAAGCUCCCAUUUCACAUCCAGAGUGUAAAUGAACAGUGUGCUGAAAACAACACCGAUGUCUUUGUUUUGAAAGACAGAAUGCUCUAAGAAUGCCAUAAAUCAAAACCUCAAUAAUGCCUUGUUGUAAAGAAAUUGUAAAUAUUUCCAAUUUGUGAAUGAAGUAUAUUUCGUAAUUUGUUCAUAAAAGAUGACAAAUAAAAUGAAAUCUAAACCAGA